CCUACGGGGGGCUGCAGUGGGGAAUAUUGGACAAUGGGCGAAAGCCUGAUCCAGCCAUGCCGCGUGUGUGAAGAAGGCCUUCGGGUUGUAAAGCACUUUCAGUGGGGAAGAAAGCCUUGGGGCUAAUACCCUCGAGGAAGGACAUCACCCACAGAAGAAGCACCGGCUAACUCCGUGCCAGCAGCCGCGGUAAUACGGAGGGUGCGAGCGUUAAUCGGAAUUACUGGGCGUAAAGCGCGCGUAGGCGGUCUGAUAAGCCGGUUGUGAAAGCCCCGGGCUCAACCUGGGAACGGCAUCCGGAACUGUCAGGCUAGAGUGCAGGAGAGGAAGGUAGAAGUCCCGGUGUAGCGGUGAAAUGCGUAGAGAUCGGGAGGAAUACCAGUGGCGAAGGCGGCCUUCUGGACUGACACUGACGCUGAGGUGCGAAAGCGUGGGUAGCAAACAGGAUUAGAUACCCUAGUAGUC
rnacentral:rRNA from 1 species